rnacentral:lncRNA from 1 species
UUCUACUAUAUUGCCUUGUAAUGAUUUGUUAGUGAACCUCUCUCUUCCACUUGGUCUGUAGCUCCAGAAAACCAGUGGCUGUUUGUUGCCUACUCGUCUUUGCUUUAUUCUUCCUUCUGCCUGUCCACCUGCUCUCCCAACAUCCAGGGGCCAGGACAGUCCCUGGCACACAAUGAACACCCAACAAACACUUGGUUUAAGCAAUGAAUUAUUAUCUUGCACGAGAUUUCAUGAGUCUCUUUAGUUUUGCUUUCUUAACUUACUUAAUGCUUAUUAAGAUGACUUUUCACUUUCAGUUCUUCCUGUUUGAUUCCAGUUCUUAGUCAUGUCUUCCCCUUGGCACAAAACUGAUUGAGCAAUAUAUGCUGAAGCCUCACUCUUCAAAUUUCAUGACAAAGUCUGAGGGUCCCAGGACUUUGGCCAAGCACAAAUAUGAAAGGGGUUGCUGCAGAAAUUAUGUUCUAAACCCACAAUCAUGUUUAUAAUGGUCCACGAAUAUUUUUUGACUGAAUGUCUGUGUCAUCACUUCCUUCAGAAGUCCAAGGCAAGAAAAGCUAAGAAGUUGUGGCCCAACUAGAGAUGCCCAUAAGCCUAUUUACUCCGGGCUGUCUCUUUGCAAUCUUAGAAGAUGUCAAGUUACUGCAGAGGCUCUACUUCAUGCCUCCUUUUCCUGAAAUUGGGACAAUAAUAGCAACGAUGAUAACUAGCGCCUGAACUUGUUGUUCCAAAGUGCCUGACAUGAAUGGAAUCAUAUAAACUUCAACUCAACCCAAUGGAAUUAGCAUGUUGUUACCGUGACGGUUUCCACAUGUGGAAACUGAAGCACAGAGACAUUAAGUAAUUUUCUUAAGGUAAUAUACCUCGUAAGUUUCAGGGCUGGAAUUUGAAUCUAGGCAGAAUCUACCUCCUUAAUCAUCUCCACUGUGCUACCCUCUAGGGAAGAAAUAUCUGGAACUGUGGCUUGAUGAUAUUACUACUGCUUUUUAUAGACAACGAUUUUUUUCCUCACUUGGUAUCAUCUAAUGAAUAAAGAAGGAACGUGUUACUGUACUUCUAUUUCAAGAUGUGUACUGAGCCCAUUGGUUUAUCUUUUUUCUCCUCUUAGAUCCCAGUAAAAAAAGCUAAAAAAAGAAUUCAUGAUCUAACAAUAAUGAGGAUAAUUGGAGAAAAGCUAUAUGGAUCUGGGAGAUUUCAAUAAAUUUCCAGAAGUCAGAAAGAGCGUGGAAAGAUGAUGCAGUGGGGCAGAGGUAGCUUUGGGCUAGUGUGUUUGCAGAGGGUCCUGAAUCAAAAAAAGAGCCCAAGUUGCCCAUCAGAACCUCGGAAGUUUCAGUCUGAGAGAAUGGAGAUGGGAUGGAGGAGGAGAUAGAGAAGUUCAAAACAAUACAUCAGAGGAAAAAGAAAAGGGUGCCAA